rnacentral:rRNA from 1 species
UGGGGAAUUUUGGACAAUGGGCGAAAGCCUGAUCCAGCAAUGCCGCGUGUGUGAAGAAGGCCUUCGGGUUGUAAAGCACUUUUGCCCGGAAAGAAAUCCUUGGCUCUAAUACAGUCGGGGGAUGACGGUACCGGAAGAAUAAGCACCGGCUAACUACGUGCCAGCAGCCGCGGUAAUACGUAGGGUGCAAGCGUUAAUCGGAAUUACUGGGCGUAAAGCGUGCGCAGGCGGUUUGCUAAGACCGAUGUGAAAUCCCCGGGCUCAACCUGGGAACUGCAUUGGUGACUGGCAGGCUAGAGUAUGGCAGAGGGGGGUAGAAUUCCACGUGUAGCAGUGAAAUGCGUAGAGAUGUGGAGGAAUACCGAUGGCGAAGGCAGCCCCCUGGGCCAAUACUGACGCUCAUGCACGAAAGCGUGGGGAGCAAACAGGAUUAGAUACCCUGGUAGUCCACGCCCUAAAACGAUGUCAACUAGUUGUUGGGGAUUCAUUUCCUUAGUAACGUAGCUAACGCGUGAAGUUGACCGCCUGGGGAGUACGGUCGCAAGAUU